CGCGUAGGCGGCCUGCUAAGUCUGGAGUGAAAGUCCUGCUUUCAAGGUGGGAAUUGCUUUGGAUACUGGUGGGCUGGAGUGCAGGAGAGGAAAGCGGAAUUACCGGUGUAGCGGUGAAAUGCGUAGAUAUUGGGAAGAACACCAGUGGCGAAGGCGGCUUUCUGGACUGUAACUGACGCUGAGGCUCGAAAGCUAGGGUAGCGAACG
rnacentral:rRNA from 1 species